rnacentral:pre_miRNA from 1 species
AAGUGGAAGAGGAAGAAAAUGAGCAUCUUAGAGCAUGGACAUGGGAACAUGGAGGAAGGUCUAAAGUAGCGUGUCUCUCUACAACUAGGCCAACCUUUUUCUUCGGAAUUUUCUCAAUGCCUCCCAUGCCUAUUGUUCUCAGGUGCUCCUUCCUCUUCCUUAUAAUG